UACGAGGGGGGCGAGCGUUGUUCGGAAUUAUUGGGCGUAAAGGGUGCGUAGGCGGCUUGGUAAGUCUGAUGUGAAAUCUAUGGGCUCAACUCAUAGUCUGCAUCGGAAACUGCCGGGCUUGAGUGUGGGAGAGGUGAGUGGAAUUCCUGGUGUAGCGGUGAAAUGCGUAGAUAUCAGGAGGAACACCUGCGGUGUAGACGGCUUUCUGGACCAUUGUUGACGCUGAGACACGAAAGCGUGGGUAGCAAACAGG
rnacentral:rRNA from 1 species